rnacentral:rRNA from 1 species
UACGGGGGGAGCAAGCGUUGUUCGGAUUUACUGGGCGUAAAGGGCGCGUAGGCGGCCAGCACAAGUCAGUUGUGAAAUCUCCGAGCUUAACUCGGAAAGGUCAACUGAUACUGUGCGGCUAGAGUGCAGAAGGGGCAACUGGAAUUCUUGGUGUAGCGGUGAAAUGCGUAGAUAUCAAGAGGGAACACCUGGCGGCGAAGGCGGGUUGCUGGGCUGACACUGACGCUGAUGCGGCGAAA